GCGCCACCAGUGGUCGUUCAGUGAACUGUAGCUAACAGCGCCUCCAGUGGUCGUUCAUUAAACUGUAGCUAACAGCGCCACCAGUGGUCGUUCAUUAAACUGUAGCUAACAGCGCCUCCAGUGGUCGUUCAUUAAACUGUAGCUAACAGCGCCACCAGUGGUCGUUCAUUAAACUGUAGCUAACAGCGCCUCCAGUGGUCGUUCAUUAAACUGUAGCUAACAGCGCCACCAGUGGUCGUUCAUUAAACUGUAGCUAACAGCGCCUCCAGUGGUCGUUCAGUGAACUGUAGCUAACAGCGCCACCAGUGGUCGUUCAUUAAACUGUAGCUAACAGCGCCACCAGUGGUCGUUCAUUAAACUGUAGCUAACAGCGCCACCAGUGGUCGUUCAGUGAACUGUAGCUAACAGCGCCACCAGUGGUCGUUCAUUAAACUGUAACUAACAGCGCCACCAGUGGUCGUUCAGUGAACUGUAGCUAACAGCGCCACCAGUGGUCGUUCAUUAAACUGUAGCUAACAGCGCCACCAGUGGUCGUUCAGUGAACUGUAGCUAACAGCGCCACCAGUGGUCGUUCAUUAAACUGUAACUAACAGCGCCACCAGUGGUCGUUCAGUGAACUGUAGCUAACAGCGCCACCAGUGGUCGUUCAGUGAACUGUAACUAACAGCGCCACCAGUGGUCGUUCAUUAAACUGUAGCUAACAGCGCCACCAGUGGUCGUUCAUUAAACUGUAGCUAACAGGGCCACCAGUGGUCGUUCAUUAAACUGUAGCUAACAGCGCCUCCAGUGGUCGUUCAUUAAACUGUAGCUAACAGCGCCACCAGUGGUCGUUCAUUAAACUGUAGCUAACAGCGCCUCCAGUGGUCGUUCAUUAAACUGUAGCUAACAGCGCCUCCAGUGGUCGUUCAUUAAACUGUAGCUAACAGCGCCUCCAGUGGUCGUUCAUUAAACUGUAGCUAACAGCGCCUCCAGUGGUCGUUCAUUAAACUGUAACUAACAGCGCCACCAGUGGUCGUUCAGUGAACUGUAGCUAACAGCGCCACCAGUGGUCGUUCAGUGAACUGUAACUAACAGCGCCACCAGUGGUCGUUCAUUAAACUGUAGCUAACAGCGCCUCCAGUGGUCGUUCAUUAAACUGUAGCUAACAGCGCCACCAGUGGUCGUUCAUUAAACUGUAGCUAACAGCGCCUCCAGUGGUCGUUCAUUAAACUGUAGCUAACAGCGCCACCAGUGGUCGUUCAUUAAACUGUAGCUAACAGCGCCUCCAGUGGUCGUUCAUUAAACUGUAGCUAACAGCGCCUCCAGUGGCCGUUCAGUGAACUGUAGCUAACAGCGCCACCAGUGGUCGUUCAUUAAACUGUAGCUAACAGCGCCACCAGUGGUCGUUCAUUAAACUGUAGCUAACAGCGCCACCAGUGGUCGUUCAGUGAACUGUAGCUAACAGCGCCACCAGUGGUCGUUCAUUAAACUGUAACUAACAGCGCCACCAGUGGUCGUUCAGUGAACUGUAGGUAACAGCGCCACCAGUGGUCGUUCAUUAAACUGUAGCUAACAGCGCCACCAGUGGUCGUUCAUUAAACUGUAGCUAACAGCGCCACCAGUGGUCGUUCAGUGAACUGUAGCUAACAGCGCCACCAGUGGUCGUUCAUUAAACUGUAACUAACAGCGCCACCAGUGGUCGUUCAGUGAACUGUAGGUAACAGCGCCACCAGUGGUCGUUCAUUAAACUGUAGCUAACAGCGCCACCAGUGGUCGUUCAGUGAA